ACUCAUAGGCAUCACCAACAUAGCACAGAGGUAGAGAAGAAAAUAUUAAUACAAGGGCAUCUGAAAAAGGAGCUGUGAUCAAUUUUCUAAAACUUUCCUUAAAUUUCUAAUAUCCUGUAGCCUUAACAUUGGGAUUGCAGUCCUCCCUGUUGCAACUUAGCACAUACCCUACUGUCUGAACUCAAAACCCUAGGAACUACUGUCUGAGAUCUGAAUGUAUUCUUGGUUCCAAAUCAAUCUUGUCACUCCUCGGAAAGCAAUGCAAGAUAAUAAGUAGUAUUCACCUGAUUGCUUUCCUGCUCCGAGACAGCUGGUGACGCAUGUCUUCCUGAUAACCAGGAGUUUCAGAUCUAAGGCAGGGAUAAAGGGAAACUGGAAGCUCUCGGAAUCUAAAUGUGACAGUCGAUGGCUGAGGAGAGGGUCAGAAGGAAUAGAAUCUGUGACACGUAUGAGAAAGGAACAAAAUUUAUCUGCUCUGGUUGCAAUGAUUAGAUGUCUCUUUGUCUGGCUUUCCUUGCAGUGGGUGACUGAUCGUACCCGCCAGCUGGCUAAUGUCAUAAUUAACAAAGUUGCUACUACAUCUGCAAAGUUUAAUCGAAAAAUUUGCCAGUGAUAUGAUGGCCUUGUCACAGAGAUCACAAGGGACACGGAGUUGACUUUUGCUCAAGGUGGAACGACAGAGCUGUGUAGGCAAGAUGAGAAAUUGCGAACUUGUUCGGCCAAAGGAGGCUAAUAAUGAAGGGGCCGGGAAGGAGGCCAGUGCUACCAGGGUUAUCUCACAACCUCAGAUGCUGGAUAAGUCGACGGAGGCAGAAUCGCUUUGGGAUGACAUUCAGAAAGCCUGGAGUGAUUACUUGCAAGAGAAAAGCCUACCUAUUCUUUCCAAGGUGCAGGAAUAUUCCCCUGACCUGCUCAUCCAGUGGUCCAGUAAUGAAUUACUGGAGACCUGCCUUAGACAAAGAAUGCACUCGGAGCCCCAACACACCUAAAGCCAUGCUUUGAAGGAUCUGCCAAGCUCACUUUUAAUCAUGAGAAAGAAAUUACCCACACGGAGUCAGCAGAAAAUGAGAAAGUAGAGCUCGUGCUGUGAAUAAUUCCAGCAAGUGCCAAGGGGCUAGUUGAGGAAUGGCUUCAUGAGAACAUGCUCUAGGGGAACUAUUAAUAGCCCACCAGUCGGGUAGGCAGCAUUCAAUCCUUCUAUGCCUUCUUUCGCCACCUGUUGAGGUCUUUCUUCUGAAACAAAGAAGAAAUAGACAAAUCAGACUUGCCCUCUUGGAAAUGUGGUCCAGAUUUCUCUACUCCCAAGCUCCAAAAAAGGUAUACAUUGGAUGGGCUAGAUCAACUCCUCCUGAGAGCCAUAAAUCCGCCAAGAGUUGUUUUCCAUGUAAGGGUGUGGUACAAUGGGGAACACCUGAUGUUGGAGGAAAGCAGGAGGACUUUAGAGUGGAGUUGCAUUCUAAUCUCUCUGCCGCUUCAACUAUGUGACCUGGGGCAAAUGAUAUAAACUCUAUGAGCCUCUUUCCUUAUCUUUAAAAUGAAGAGAAGUAAUACCUACCUUGUAGGGCUGUUGUGAGGAUUAAAUGAAGUAAUGCAUACAGUGCCUAACAAAGUAUUUAACAUCAUAUUUUUUAAAAGCUCAUGAAAUAUUAGUUUUUCUUCCUUCCCCUCUUUCUAUUUUCUCUCCUGUUCCCUUUUCUCUCCCUCCUCUGCCCUCUCCUUCCUUCAGAUGUUAGUCUAAAACAGCACCUUGGAUCUAAGCAGCACCUUUGAGAAAGAAAAGACUGCUUCAAGAAUGUCUAGUUGCACCUCCUUUCCGUAUGUGGCCUAAAUGCCUAGGUUGGAUCAAUAGUUUAAUUUUUUUAUUGAACUGUUUAAUAUUGACUAUGGACUUACAUUCACUUUUACUGUUUUCUGUAUAUUUACUUUUGCUUGAAGUGUUUUAAUAUUGACUAUUUACCUCUGCUCAUUUUUAUUGAUUUUCUGUAUUUUUUCAAUGAAAAUUAUAAUAAAAAUUAUUUUUGUUAUC
rnacentral:lncRNA from 1 species